rnacentral:rRNA from 1 species
UACGUAGGGGGCAAGCGUUGUCCGGAUUCAUUGGGCGUAAAGCGCGUGUAGGCGGCUAAGUAAGUCGGGCGUGAAAUCCCACGGCUCAACCGUGGAAGUGCACUCGAAACUGCAUAGCUAGAGUCCUGGAGAGGAAGGUGGAAUGCUUGGUGUAGAGGUGAAAUUCGUAGAUAUCAAGCGGAACACCGGUGGCGAAGGCGGCCUUCUGGACAGUGACUGACGCUGAGACGCGAAAGCGUGGGGAGCAAACAGG